rnacentral:sRNA from 1 species
GAACACGGAGAACGAAGGAGAACGAAGUCACAGCAGCCGAACCAAAUGGGAGAUAUUCAUUUACGGAAAGAAAAAUGGAAAAUCAAGAACAAACUGGGUUGGGUUGGAAGGUUGCGUUUCCCUUUGUUUCUGCCAUAAUCCAACAUACGUAGUAGACAUGUUGCCGCUCUGAUGCAAGCUGCAAAAUGAUUUCACCGAAGCUCUCAUCACAUCACAUCUCCAUCCACCCAAUCAGGCCAUCUGAAUGAUCUGAUCCGUGUUGCCCACCUCCACGGCCAAGACGAGAGACCCCCAGUAUGGGCCGGCGAUUGGUGGCUGGGAGUAGCGUCAUUGAUGCACCCUGCACGGGGAGCCGAGUGGCCUAGCCAAACAUCAUGCAUACUAGUACGGGGUAUGGGAUGGUGAUUCUGCAUCGGUCGAUCCUUGGGUCUUGAGGCACUUUUCUGUGGGUGAUUGAAGCAUCCGUGCAUCCGUUGCCGCCGUAUCAAAGCCUGUCAAGGCUAUGAUCCGGGGCUGAGAUUGGCCCGCCAUCUCGACUAGGGUGCGCAGAAGAAUGCAAAGGGCUUGAGACCGGGCCAAUCCCCGCUGCGAAAUGAGGGGCAGAAGGGGAACA